rnacentral:rRNA from 1 species
UACAGAGGUCUCAAGCGUUGUUCGGAUUCAUUGGGCGUAAAGGGUGCGUAGGCGGCGCGGUAAGUCGGGGUGUGAAAUCUCGGAGCUUAACUCCGAAACUGCAUUCGAUACUGCCGUGCUUGAGGACUGGAGAGGAGACUGGAAUUCCCGGUGUAGCGGUGGAAUGCGUAGAGAUCGGGAAGAACAUCAGUGGCGAAGGCGGUCUGCGUGGGCCGUUGCUGACGCUGAGGCGCGACAGCGUGGGGAGCAACAGG